AAACUUUCCAAUUCAUUAACGUGUGAGAAGGGAAGCCUGAGUGCUUAUGCAUUGCAUAAGCUUUUCUUUAGCUUAAAUCGCUAGAGGAAUAAGUGGUGGGUAAGACAGGUGCCAGCCGCCGCGGUAAUACCUGCGCCACGAAUGGUGAUCACGAUUAUUGGGUCUAGAGCGUCCGUAGCCGGUUUAGCAAGUCCCCUGUGAAAUCCUGCCGCUUAACGGUAGGGCUUGCGGAGGAUACUACUAGACUAGGAGCCGGGAUAGGUCAGGGGUAUUC
rnacentral:rRNA from 1 species